CUGGCGUGCACCUUGGCGUGCGGAGCUGGCACCUUGGCGCCGUGGGCGGCGGCGGGGACAGCUGUGAAGUGUGAAGUUCCUUGUCUGCUGGCAGCCAGAGGCGACGAGUCUGGAUGUCACGGAAGUGAAGGAUGCCAAUUCUGCGCUUCUCAGUAACUACGAGGUGUUUCAGUUACUAACUGAUCUGAAAGAACAGCGUAAAGAAAGUGGAAAGAGGCCGGGCGCGGUGGCUCAAGCCUGUAAUCCCAGCACUUUGGGAGGCCAAGACGGGCGGAUCACGAGGUCAGGAGAUCGAGACCAUCCUAGCUUAACCGGUGAACCCCCUCUCUACUAAAAAAUACAAAAAAAACUAGCCAGGUGAGGUGGCGGCGC
rnacentral:lncRNA from 1 species